CCAGUCGGCCGGAUGGCCGCCGCCUCAGGGCGGAGGAAAGUCCGGGCUCCACAGAGAAACGGUGCCGGAUAACGUCCGGCGGGGGCGACCCUAGGGAAAGCGCCACAGAAAACAGACCGCCAUCCGGCUUGCGCCGGAGGUAAGGGUGAAACGGUGCGGUAAGAGCGCACCGCGCGCAUGGCGACAUGAGCGGCACGGCAAGCCCCACCGGGAGCAAAACCGAAUAGGGGCGACGCGGGGCGCAGGCCCCAGAUCCUUCUCUGGAUCGUCGCCCGGGUUGGUUGCUCGAGGCGGCCGGUAACGGCCGUCCCAGAGGAAUGGCCAUCGCGCGCCGCGGACUCCGCGGCGCCUUACAGAACCCGGCUUAAAGGCCGGCUGGCGCC
rnacentral:RNase_P_RNA from 2 species